rnacentral:misc_RNA from 1 species
GAUGAAGAACGUAGCGAAAUGCGAUAACUAAUGUGAAUUGCAGAAUUCAGUGAAUCAUCGAGUCUUUGAACGCACAUUGCGCCCUCUGGUAUUCCGGAGGGCAUGCCUGUCCGAGCGUCAUUGCUGCCCUCCAGUCCGGCUGGUGUGUUGGGCCCCGUCCCCCUUCCCGGGGGGACGGGCCCGAAAGGCAGCGGCGGCACCGCGUCCGGUCCUCGAGCGUAUGGGGCUUUGUCACCCGCUCUUGUAGGCCCGGCCGGCGCCAGCCGACCCCCUCAAUCUAUUUUUCAGGUUGACCUCGGAUCAGGUAGGGAUACCCGCUGAACUUAAGCAUAUCAAUAAGCGGAGGA